CUACGGGUGGCAGCAGUGGGGAAUAUUGCACAAUGGGCGCAAGCCUGAUGCAGCCAUGCCGCGUGUAUGAAGAAGGCCUUCGGGUUGUAAAGUACUUUCAGCGGGGAGGAAGGGAGUAAAGUUAAUACCUUUGCUCAUUGACGUUACCCGCAGAAGAAGCACCGGCUAACUCACGUGCCAGCAGCCGCGGUAAUACGGAGGGUGCAAGCGUUAAUCGGAAUUACUGGGCGUAAAGCGCACGCAGGCGGUUUGUUAAGUCAGAUGUGAAAUCCCCGGGCUCAACCUGGGAACUGCAUCUGAUACUGGCAAGCUUGAGUCUCGUAGAGGGGGGUAGAAUUCCAGGUGUAGCGGUGAUAUGCGUAGAGAUCUGGAGGAAUACCGGUGGCGAAGGCGGCCCCCUGGACGAAGACUGACGCUCAGGUGCGAAAGCGUGGGGAGCAAACAGGAUUAGAUACCCGUGUAGUC
rnacentral:rRNA from 1 species